rnacentral:rRNA from 1 species
UAUGAACGCUGGCGGCGUGCCUAAUACAUGCAAGUCGAGCGAACGGACGAGAAGCUUGCUUCUCUGAUGUUAGCGGCGGACGGGUGAGUAACACGUGGAUAACCUACCUAUAAGACUGGGAUAACUUCGGGAAACCGUAGCUAAUACCGGAUAAUAUUUUGAACCGCAUGGUUCAAAAGUGAAAGACGGUCUUGCUGUCACUUAUAGAUGGAUCCGCGCUGCAUUAGCUAGUUGGUAAGGUAACGGCUUACCAAGGCAACGAUGCAUAGCCGACCUGAGAGGGUGAUCGGCCACACUGGAACUGAGACACGGUCCAGACUCCUACGGGAGGCAGCAGUAGGGAAUCUUCCGCAAUGGGCGAAAGCCUGACGGAGCAACGCCGCGUGAGUGAUGAAGGUCUUCGGAUCGCAAAACUCUGUUAUUAGGGAAGAACAUAUGUGUAAGUAACUGUGCACAUCUUGACGGUACCUAAUCAGAAAGCCACGGCUAACUACGUG